GUACUUUCUAAGUUUUCCUCAUUAAUUUCUUUUUGUUUUUCAUUGAUUUCUAAAUUUUUUGUAUUUGUUAAUAUUUCUGUAUAUGUUUCACUAUCUUCUGAAUCAUAAUUAUUUGUUUCUUCAUCUUCAACAUCUAUAUUAUUUAUUUCUAAUUCUUUGUUUUUUAUUUCCAAUUUUUCCUUAAAUUGAUUUAUCUCGUUCAGUAAUUUUUGUUCUCUAUCUUUUUCUUCUUUUUCCUUUUGUCUUUGUUCAUACAGCUCUUUUAACAUUUGUAGUUCUUUUUCUAAUUCAGCAAUCCUACAAUUUUUAGUUUCUUCUAUUUUUUCGUAUUUCUUCCGUAGUUUGUUGUUUUAUUUUUUCUAUUUCCUUUUUCCUAUCUAUUUCUUCAUUUUCUCUUUCUAUUCUUACCAUUGCUGUCAAU
rnacentral:lncRNA from 1 species